ACCCGUCUCCGUCUUCAAUCUCCCGAACGAUUCGGGAGGACGUUCCGGCCGCUUCGGCGGUGGUUGCGGAACGGCCGAACGGCACGGUGACAGUGGCUCCGUUGUCGGCGACGACAGGCGGCGGUUGGUCGUGGUGGCGGCCGGAAUCUUGUGCGCGGUGGUCGGCGGGUGCGUCGACAGUGCCGAGGGACAAGGUGGCAAAUAGAUCGGCGACGCUCUUCCUCUUUCCGGCAGCGGGAGUCACACGCGGUCCUUCAACGCGCUCCGGUGUCCGUGGUCGACGUACGGCGUAAUACUCGUGCGGCCACAGAAAUCCAGGGAUCCGGCGACGAUCGGCCAUACACCGGCUGCCGGUGGUUGCAGGUGGUGGGGCAACGGCGACGACCGAGGGAUCAAGUCAGAUGGAUGCGAGGGAGAAUCCGGCGCAGGGACUGUGGCUCUUUCUUCUCUUUCGGCUGCAGAACCCUUUUUUUUUUUGCUCUGAUGAAAACACAGACCGAGAGAGAGGAAGGGUCGGAUGCGGGUGGCUGUCGAUCUGGGCCUUCACAGACUCGGCAGUGAUCCUUUUUUUUUUUGAACAGGCUGACAGAGGGAAGGCCCUGUUCUCCUUGAAGCACCG
rnacentral:lncRNA from 1 species